GGCUGUCGUCAGCUCGUGUCGUGAGAUGUUGGGUUAAGUCCCGCAACGAGCGCAACCCACGUCUUUAGUUGCCAGCAUUAAGUUGGGCACUCUAGAGAGACUGCCGGUGAUAAACCGGAGGAAGGUGUGGAUGACGUCAAGUCAUCAUGCCCCUUACAUCCUGGGCUACACACGUACUACAAUGCUACGGACAAAGGGCAGCAAACUCGCGAGAGCUAGCAAAUCCCAUAAACCGUGGCUCAGUUCAGAUCGUAGGCUGCAACUCGCCUACGUGAAGGAGGAAUCGCUAGUAAUCGCAGGUCAGCAUACUGCGGUGAAUACGUUCCCGGGCCUUGUACACACCGCCCGUCACACCAUGGAAGUUGGCCACGCCCGAAGUCGUUACUCCAACCCGCAAGGGAGGAGGAUGCCGAAGGUGGGGCUGAUGACUGGGGUGAAGUUGUAACAAGGUAGCCGUACCGGAAGGUGCGGCUGGAUCACCUCCUA
rnacentral:rRNA from 1 species